GAUGAACGCUGGCGGCGUGCCUAAUACUUGCAAGUCGAGCGAACAGACGAGGAGCUUGCUCCUCUGACGUUAGCGGCGGACGGGUGAGUAACACGUGGAUAACCUACCUAUAAGACUGGGAUAACUUCGGGAAACCGGAGCUAAUACCGGAUAAUAUAUUGAACCGCAUGGUUCAAUAGUGAAAGACGGUUUUGCUGUCACUUAUAGAUGGAUCCGCGCCGCAUUAGCUAGUUGGUAAGGUAACGGCUUACCAAGGCGACGAUGCGUAGCCGACCUGAGAGGGUGAUCGGCCACACUGGAACUGAGACACGGUCCAGACUCCUACGGGAGGCAGCAGUAGGGAAUCUUCCGCAAUGGGCGAAAGCCUGACGGAGCAACGCCGCGUGAGUGAUGAAGGUCUUCGGAUCGUAAAACUCUGUUAUUAGGGAAGAACAAAUGUGUAAGUAACUACGCACGUCUUGACGGUACCUAAUCAGAAAGCCACGGCUAACUACGUG
rnacentral:rRNA from 1 species